AGAAGAAGGAGGAGACAUAGAAGAAGACGAAGAAGGAGGAGGAGACGGAGAAGGAGGGAGACAGAGGAGAAGAAAAAGAAGAAGAAGCUGGAGGACCUAAUUAAUGUAGUAGUACUUGAGCCGUGGGGGAAAUACAUUCACUCAAAAGUAUUCAAGUACAACUUUGAGGUACUUUACAUGAGAACUGCGAUGUUCAGGUACUAUUUAUGUCUCCACUACAUGUCAGAGGAGGCGAGGACGAAGCUCAUAGAGAGAGAUCCACUGCAGGAGGUGGAACAUUGCAGGGAAAUGGCUGACCCAGAAUAACACACACACACACACACACACACACACACACACACACACACACACACUGAGGUCCUCCACCUUCUUCUUCGUGGCCCGGGCUGCUGAACACUUGCAGGACAUCUUCAAGUCGCCGACACCCUGAGUUUCAUCAUCAAGUCGUUCUUUGAGCAUGAAACAGAGUGGCGUGUCUUCAAAAUGGCUCUUUGGAAGCAAUCAAUCGUCCAAUUUUACAUUUAAAAAAAACACAUUAAACUUAUAAAAUACAACAUAUUGUUUAAGAUUUACAACUUUUUAAAUUAAAUAUUUUGGUGCCAUUUGGAGACAUUGCUGCAUUUAAAAUAAGAUUAACAAUUAAAAAUUAAACAAUAUAAAUUGAAACGUCGUUGUUCACUGUGACAAAGUUUUCAGAUCCUUUACUCAGGUAAACUUAUAAAAGUAUU